GAGAGCUAGGUUGUAGAACUUGUCGAACUCCUCAGGAUCGUGCAAGGCAAGAGCUAACUACAAAUCUUCUUUCAAGCCACCUCUGAACUGAUAAAUCUUGCUCUUCUGAUCAGGGAUAUCCUGCAGCGCGUAACGGGCUAGCUCGUGGAACUCAACGUUGUACUUGUACACGGAAUUGCCACCCUGCUUCAAACGCCUGAACUUCUCACGCAUCUCCUCCACAAAGUUGGAAGGAAUGUAGUGGGACCUGAAGUCAUGGCAUAACUCAUCCCAAG
rnacentral:lncRNA from 1 species